rnacentral:tRNA from 1 species
GCGAGUAUAGUUUAACCAAAACGUUAGAUUGUGAUUCUAAAAACAAGGGUUAAAGUCCCUUUACUCACC